GAGAAAGACAUAGAGGUUAUGGAGUUGCCUUGAAACCAAUUUUAGGGGGUUCGAAUCCUUCCUUUCUUA
rfam:Mesocricetus auratus contig030946, whole genome shotgun sequence.